rnacentral:rRNA from 1 species
UCUGUAUGGUAGUAUAAUAUAUAGUCUAGUCUGCCCCCUGAAAAUUUUAAAGGGCCGCGGUAUUCUGACCGUGCUAAGGUAGCAUAAUAAAUAGUCUUUUAAUUGAGGUCUGGUAUGAAUGGCUGGACAUGAAGCUAGCUGUUUCAAUUGUAAAAAUUGAACUUUACUUUUAAGUGAAAAGGCUUAAAUUUGAGGGGGGGACGAUAAGACCCUAUAAAGCUUUAUAUUUUAUUUGAGAAUUAAAUAAUGUAAGGUUUUUAACUAUCUUUGAAUGAAAUAUUUCGUUGGGGCGACGAGAAUAAAAAUAAAUAACUGUUCUUAUAACUAAAUAAAUAUAAUUAGCUAGGUUGAUCCUUUGUAAAGAUUAAAAGAUUUGAGUUACUUUAGGGAUAACAGCGUAAUUUUUUUUGAGAGUUCAUAUCGACAAAAAUAGUUGCGACCUCGAUGUUGAAUUAAGAUAUUUCCAAGGUGUAGAAGUUUUGGUAGUGGGUCUGUUCGACCUUUAAAAUC